rnacentral:rRNA from 1 species
UUUUAAAUUGCUGUGGUAUUUUGACUAUACAAAGGUAUUGAAAUAAGAUUUUAAUUGAAUGCUAAGAGAAUGGAAUUACAGAAAAUAGCUUUUUUUAGAUUAAAAAUUGAAAUUUUUUUAAUUUGUGCAGAAACAAUUAUUAAUAUUAAGGACAAGAAGACCCUAUGAAUUUAUAAAUUUAUGUUAUAGUAAUUAAUAUAAAAUAAAUUUUGGUUGGGGCGACAAAAAAAAAUAAAAAACUUUUUUUUUAUAAAAUGAUCCAUUAUUAAUGAUUAUAUGAAAAAUACUCUAGGGAUAACAGCGUUAUAUUUUUUGAUAGCUCAUAUUGACAAAAAAGUUUGCGACCUCGAUGUUGGAUUAGGAUACUUUUUUAAUGAAGAUAUAAAAAAAGAAGUUGUCAGCGAAUAC